UUUGAUAUGUUGUCUUUACAUUGUCAUUUAUUCAAGACAUUUUAUUUUUUAAAUUACCAUUUUAUUUUUUGACCCAUUGAUUACUCAGGAGCAUCUUGUUUAAUUUCUAGUUAUUAGUGAAUUUCUCAAAAUUCCUUUUGCUAUUGACUUCUAGUUUCAUACUGUUGUGGUAAAAAUACAACAUGAGAUAUGAUUUUGAUCUUUUUGAAUUUGUUAAAUUUUGUGUGUGUGUGUGGAGGCCUGUGUGAUGGCACAGAGGGUAAAGUCACUGCCUGUGAUGUCAGCAUAUUAUACAUAACACAGUCCUGGUUUAAGCUCAGUCUGUUCCACUUUCUGUUCAGCUGCCUGCUAAUGUGCCUGUUAGGGCAGCUGGGAAUGAAUCAAGUGCUUGGGCCCCUGCAAUCCAUGUGGAAGAACCAAAUGGAAUUCCAGGCUUCUGGCUUUGUCUUGGCCCAGUCCCAGCUGUUGCAGACAUUUGGGAAAUGAACCAGAAGAUGGAAUAUUUUUUUUUCUCUCUGUCUCUCCCUCUUUCUGAUUACUUUUGAUAUAUUUAAUGUCUGGCUUCCUUGUACCCAUCAAUAAACAAACCAACUGAACUUUUCUAGGCUAAUUGAAGACAAUGUUUAGUAAAACUGUACUGAAUUCAUUUGUUUUCUUAUUGGUGAGUGUAGCAGUAUGGUAAAUUUUUAGAGGUCUCUACUUCAGAACUGAGUGAGCAAGAUAUUUAUUAACUUCAUUUGCUUGCUGAUAUAUUUAGGUGAGCUAGUGGAGUUCAUUCAGGGGGCCACAGUAGAUAGCAUCACAUACAUAUGAAAUGGGAUUUGGAGCAUGUAUUUAGAGACUGCAGUUUCCCACGAUUCUAACCAACAGUUUUGGUAUCAAUUUAAUACCAUAGAAGAUAUUCAUCUUUUUGUAUUUCUGCAUAGAGAACCUAAAGUUUUUAUUUUUGAAAUUUCAAUGCUCCCCAUAGUAGAGCUUCACCUGCCCUAUUUAAUACAGUAGUACAAAAAUUGGCAUGUGUUCAAAAUUAUGUCUUCAUCCUCCUUAAGAACACAAAGAAAUAGUUUCUUUAACCAGUCUACUGUUGAUGGUCAUUUGGGUUGAUUCCAGGUCUUAGCUAUUGUGAAUUGAGCUGCAAUAAACAUUUAGGUGCAUACAGCUUUUUUGUUUGCCGAUUUGAUUUCCUUUGGGUAAAUUCCAAGGAGUGGGAUGGCUGGGUUGUAUGGUAGGGUUAUAUUCAGGUUUCUGAAGAAUCUCCAGACUGACUUCACUAGUGGCUUUACCAGUUUGCAUUCCCACCAACAGAGGGUUAGUGUCCCUUUUUCCCCACAUCUUGCCAGCAUCAUUUGUUGGUAGAUUUCUGUAUGUGAGCCAUUCUAACCCAGGUGAGGUGAAACCUCAUUGUGGUUUUGAUUUGCAUUUCCCUGAUGACUAGUGAUCUUGAACAUUUUUUCAUGUGUCUGUUGGCCAUUUGGAUUUCCUCUUUUGAAAAAUGUCUACUGAGGUCCUUGACCCAUCCCUUAAGUGGGUUGUUCAUUUUGUUUUUGUGGAGCUUCUUGAUCUCUUUGUAGAUUGGUUAUUAAGGCUUUAUCUGUUGCAUAGUUUGCAAAUAUUUUUUCCCAUUCUGUCGGUUGCCUCUUCACUUUCCUGACUGAAAUUAUGGGACAUGUACUCUAUAGAAUACUAUAUAGCAGUAAAAAAAAAAAAAAAAAACAAAGAAAUCCUGUCAUUUACAACAAAAUGGAGGAAUCUGGAAAACAUCAUGCUGAGUGAAAUAAGCCAGCCACAAAGGGAAAAAUACCAUAUGUUCUCCCUGAUUAAUAACAACCUACCAAGCACCAAAAAGGAAACCUGUUGAACUGAAAUGGACACUAUGAGAAACAGUGACUUGAACAGCCCUUGUCCUGAAUGUUGAUGAACAACUUAAUACUUUAUCCCUUUUAGUAUUUUUUGUUCUACUUAAUACCAUUGGUUGAACUCUUUAAUUAACACACAGUUAUUCUUAGGUCUUUAAAUUUAACUGAAAAGUGAUCCUUGUUAAAUAUAAGUUUGGGAAUAAGAGAGGGAGAAGAUGUACAAUUUGGGACAUGCUCAAGCUGACUUGCCCCAAACAGUAGAGUUAGAAAUGUGCCAGGGGACUCCAAUUCAAUCCCAUCAAGGUGGCAUGUACCAAUGCCAUCUCACUAGUCAGAUCUGGCUGAUCUGAGAUGGCAUUGGUACAUGCCACCUUGAUGGGAUUGAAUUGGAAUCCCCUGGUACCUUUCUAACUCUACUGUUUGGGGCAAGUUAGAUUGAGCAUGUCCCAAAUUAUACAUCUUCUCCCUCUCUUAUUCCCACUCUUAUAUUUAACAGGGAUCACUUUUCAGUUUAGUCUCAACACUUAAGAAUAACUGUGUAUUGAUUACAGAAUUCAACCAAAAGUAUUAAGUAGAACAAACAAACAAGCAAAUACUAAGAGGGAUAAUGUAUUAAGUUGUUCAUCAACAGUCAGGGCAAGGGCUGAUCAAGUCACCGUUUCUCAUAGUGUUCAUUUCACUUUAACAGGUUUCCUUUUUGGUGCUUGGUUAGUUGUCACCGAUCAGGGAGAACAUAUGAUAUUUGUCCCUUUGGGACUGGCUUAUUUCACUCAGCAUAAUGUUUUCCAGAUUCCUAACAGGUUUUUCAUAUGGGUUGAAGGCACCCGGGUACUUGAGCCAUAACCAUCUACCUCCUAGAGUGCACAUUAGAAGGAAGCUAGAAUGAAAGCAGGGCCAGGACCUGAAUCCAGACUCUUCAAAAUGAGAUGCUGGUGUCCAAACAACAUCUUAACUUCCACAACAAACGCAUGCCUCCCAAAUAUCAUUGAUUAUCCAAGAUAUUUUUUGGUAAUUGCCUUGGUAUUUUAAAUAAUGAUUAUGGUAAUCGAAGAUUGGAGACAAUUCAUGAUUUAAAAAAUUAAAUGAUAUUUUCUCUUCUAGUAUAUUAGGAAGUCAUGAGAUAUUUUUAAAAUAAACUCUGUGUAAGCUUUCUAUACAUAUAUACAUAAACUUUUGCAUAUGUAAUAUCUGCAUCAUCUCAGUAUAAUUAUAGUAAUUCUGUUUUCUUUGCCUGAUCAAUCAACUAUCAAGGUAUACAUAACAGCGUAUCCAUUUUACUCUGUAUUUUUAUUAUUCCAAUGUUUUUCUUCAUUAUCAUUUUUUCUCUUUCCUUCUUAAUUAAGUUCCACAAAUAUUUAUUAUUUAAAGCUAUCCUUUAAAGGAUUUAGGGAGGAGAGGGCAUAUGACACAGCAGUUAGGAUGCUGCUUGGGUUGCUCACAUCUUAUGAUGGAGUGCUUGGUUCAAGUCACAGCUCCUCUAGCUUCCUGGUAAUGUGCAACCUAGGAGGCAGCAGAUGAUGACUCAAGUACUUGGGUCCCUGCUACUCAUGUGGGAGACCUUGAUUGAGUUCCAGGCUUAUAGCUUUUGUCUGGCCCAUCCCUGGCUGUUGCAAGCAUAUGGGGAGUGAACUAGCAGAUGGAAGAUUCAUAUUCUCCCUCUCCUUCUCCCUCCUCCUCCCCCCCCUCCCCAUCUCUCUCCCUCCCUUUUAAAUAAAGUUAAAAUAAAUAAAAUGUUCAAAAAGGAGUUCUGGGAAUUUGAAGUCUCUUGCCCAUUGGCUAUUGGUUUCUUUCAAUUUUUUCCCCCUCUUUCCUCCUUGCUACCUCUCUCCCCUCCAGGAUUGAAUAUCACACACACAGAUAAACAAUUAUAGAGUGAUCAUACUAAAGUUUGUGUAUAUGUUUCUUGGAAUCUUUAAUUCUGGGUAGGAAAUCCUAACUCUCUAUCGGUUGCUUCACAGCCUGCAAAAUGGUACAAUUUGUUCCUGUGGCAGCAUCUUAUGUUUCAAAAAAAAUGAGCAAAGCAAAGAUUCUAUCUUCUUCCGAGAUGGGAUUAGGCAAAUUGAUUUUGUACUUUCCUAUGUUGAUGACUUAAGGGAAGAUGCAGAAAUAAAAGCGGUAAG